rnacentral:sRNA from 1 species
UUGUUGUGGACAGAUAAAAUGCACAUGGGAGUCAAUACCACCUGCGGUGACUAUCAUACCUUCACCUGCGAUAACCUCAGUUCCAGCACCUAUCUGAAAAUCCACAUUAUCUUGUAUAUCUUUGUUGCCAGCUUUACCAAUGGCAGCAAUUCUGCCAUGUUUAAUACCGAUAUCAGCUUUAAAGAUCCCUGUGUAAUCUACAAUGAUGGCAUUAGUAAUUACAGUAUCUACAGUAUCUUUAUCUAAAGCCUGAGAUUGACCUUGACCAUC